rnacentral:rRNA from 1 species
AGCGAACGCUGGCGGCAGGCCUAAUACAUGCAAGUCGAACGGCUCUUCGGAGCAGUGGCGGACGGGUGAGUAACGCGUGGGAAUGUGCCCUUAGGUACGGAACAACACAGGGAAACUUGUGCUAAUACCGUAUGUGCCCUUCGGGGGAAAGAUUUAUUGCCUUUGGAGCAGCCCGCGUUGGAUUAGGUAGUUGGUGAGGGAAAGGCUCACCAAGCCGACGAUCCAUAGCUGGUCUGAGAGGAUGACCGGCCACACUGGGACUGAGACACGGCCGAGACUCCUACGGGAGGCAGCAGUAGGGAAUCUUGCGCAAUGGGCGAAAGCCUGACGCAGCCAUGCCGCGUGUAUGAUGAAGGUCUUAGGAUUGUAAAAUACUUUCACCGGGGAAGAUAAUGACGGUACCCGGAGAAGAAGCCCCGGCUAACUUCGUGCCAGCCGCCGCGGUAA